rnacentral:rRNA from 1 species
UACGUAGGGUGCAAGCGUUGUCCGGAAUCAUUGGGCGUAAAGCGCGUGUAGGCGGCUUGGUAAGUCCGCUCUGAAAGCCCGGGGCUCAACCCCGGGAGGCGGGUGGAUACUGUCAAGCUCGAGUCCGGAAGAGGCGAGUGGAAUUCCUGGUGUAGCGGUGAAAUGCGCAGAUAUCAGGAGGAACACCAAUGGCGAAGGCAGCUCGCUGGGACGUGACUGACGCUGAGACGCGAAAGCGUGGGGAGCAAACAGG